rnacentral:rRNA from 1 species
UGGAUCCAGACUUUGAUCCUGGCUCAGGAUGAACGCUGGCGGCGUGCCUAAUACAUGCAAGUCGAACGAAACUUCUUUAUCACCGAGUGCUUGCACUCACCGAUGAAGAGUUGAGUGGCGAACGGGUGAGUAACGCGUGGGCAACCUGCCCGAAAGAGGGGGAUAACACUUGGAAACAGGUGCUAAUACCGCAUAACCAUGAACACCGCAUGGUGUUUAUGUGAAAGGUGGUUUCGGCUACCGCUUUCGGAUGGGCCCGCGGCGCAUUAGCUAGUUGGUGGGGUAAAGGCUUACCAAGGCAAUGAUGCGUAGCCGAACUGAGAGGUUGAUCGGCCACAUUGGGACUGAGACACGGCCCAAACUCCUACGGGAGGCAGCAGUAGGGAAUCUUCCACAAUGGGCGAAAGCCUGAUGGAGCAACGCCGCGUGGGUGAAGAAGGUCUUCGGAUCGUAAAACCCUGUUGUCAGAGAAGAAAGUGCAUGAGAGUAACUGUUCAUGUUUCGACGGUAUCUGACCAGAAAGCCACGGCUAACUACGUGCCAGCAGCCGCGGUAAUACGUAGGUGGCAAGCGUUAUCCGGAUUUAUUGGGCGUAAAGGGAACGCAGGCGGUCUUUUAAGUCUGAUGUGAAAGCCUUCGGCUUAACCGGAGUAGUGCAUUGGAAACUGGGAGACUUGAGUGCAGAAGAGGAGAGUGGAACUCCAUGUGUAGCGGUGGAAUGCGUAGAUAUAUGGAAGAACACCAGUGGCGAAAGCGGCUCUCUGGUCUGUAACUGACGCUGAGGUUCGAAAGCGUGGGUAGCAAACAGGAUUAGAUACCCUGGUAGUCCACGCCGUAAACGAUGAAUGCUAAGUGUUGGAGGGUUUCCGCCCUUCAGUGCUGCAGUUAACACAAUAAGCAUUCCGCCUGGGGAGUACGACCGCAAGGUUGCAACUCAAAGGAAUUGACGGA